rnacentral:misc_RNA from 1 species
AGAGCUCUGUGAAAAACAGAUUAAGAUGGGUGACAAAGCUGAAACUUUGGAGGCUGUGUUGAAGGAAGCUGUAGAUUUGGAGAACGUGCCAAUUGAAGAGGUUUUUCAAACUCUGAGGUGUAAUUCAAAUGGUCUCACUACAGAGGCUGCUGAGCAGAGACUUGCCAUUUUUGGAUAUAAUAAGCUUGAGGAAAAGCAGGAGAGCAAGAUUUUGAAGUUCUUGGGUUUUAUGUGGAACCCUCUUUCAUGGGUGAUGGAGGCAGCAGCUAUCAUGGCUAUUGCACUUGCCAAUGGAGGAGGGAAACCACCUGACUGGCAGGAUUUUGUUGGAAUUAUCACUUUGCUUCUCAUCAAUUCUACAAUUAGUUUUAUAGAGGAGAACAACGCUGGUAAUGCCGCUGCUGCUCUCAUGGCCCGUCUUGCUCCCAAAGCCAAGAUCCUUCGAGAUGGGACGUGGAUUGAGGAGGAUGCCUCCAUUCUUGUUCCUGGUGAUAUUAUCAGCAUUAAGCUUGGAGACAUCCUUCCUGCAGAUUCUCGUCUUCUUGAAGGUGAUCCAUUAAAAAUUGAUCAGUCUGCUCUUACUGGCGAGUCUCUUCCUGUGACAAAAGGACCUGGUGACAGUGUUUAUUCAGGUUCUACAUGCAAGCAAGGAGAGAUUGAAGCUGUGGUCAUUGCCACAGGGGUGCAUACAUUCUUUGGCAAGGCUGCCCAUCUCGUGGAUACGACAAAUCAAGUUGGACACUUUCAAAAGGUAUUGACUGCUAUUGGGAAUUUCUGUAUAUGCUCCAUAGCUGUGGGGAUGAUAAUAGAAAUAAUUGU